AAGAAGGCAUGGCCAUACGUCCAGAACGGUCUGCGCUCGUCCGCAUCGUACUUGCGAUACGACCUGAACACCAUCGAGGCAUCCAAACCUAAGGCUGACAAGAAGGCCUUCAAGGCUCUGACCGCCAAGGCCCUUGAUACCUUGGACACCGUAAGUUCUCAUCCUGUUUGUUCGAGUUUCUCUCAGAUAUUGGGGCUUUCUCCACGACGUGUCCGAUCUUAAAACACUUCAUUUCUACAACCAAACUCACAAGGUAUGUUGUAUGUUGUUCUUUGCAGUUGGACUACGCAGCGAGAGUGAAGAGCCUACCCAAGGCUGAGAAGGCGUACGCAGAGACCGUUGCCUUGCUCGGUGAAGUUAUGUCCCAGUUAUAGAUCUAGGGAUCUGCAUACAAUGUAACAAUAGAAGCCUGAAUCUUAUGCAACCGGAUACUUUCCCUUUCAUGUGCAUUUGUCUCUGCAAGCCUGCUGGUUUGAGAACGGUACAUUAUGCCUGUAGACAUCACAAGUGAUUCUGUAAGCCCGUAAUUUGUCGACUAUACCACAUUGUUUUAUCAUUGAAGCAGUCCCUAAUCCUCCUGUCCUGUGUGUUUCAUACUCUGGCUGUUCCCCUGUCGGAAUGCAUCUUGAUUCCAGUGUGUGUCACGAAGUAUCGUGAGCAGAAUUCGUAGUCAAUAAUUGAAUUGAACAGCCUGCUAAUAUUCUGUAAACAUGAUCAGUAGUAAGUCUCUUGAAAUAAUUCCGAUGAAAGCCAACAGUGUAGUGCGACUAGCCAUAUACCGUCUGUCUUUUUAGUAAAAAUCGCAGUUAUUUCUAUAAUCUCCUAUCGUCAUUAAUCAGCUAGUUUACAUUCAA
rnacentral:lncRNA from 1 species